UCCGACUAUUUAAUUAAAACAAAGCAUUGUGAUGGCCCCUGCGGAUGCUCACGCAAUAGAUAUAUGCCCAGUGCUCUGAAUGUCAAAGUGAAGAAAUUCAACCAAGCGCGGGUAAACGGCGGGAGCAACUAUGACUCUCUUAAGGUAGCUAAAUGCUUCGUCAUCUAAUUAGUGACGCGCAUGAAUGGAUUAACAAGA
rnacentral:ncRNA from 1 species